UACCUCCUGGAAAGUUCUCCCUAAU
rnacentral:piRNA from 1 species